rnacentral:rRNA from 1 species
UGGGGAAUAUUGGACAAUGGGCGCAAGCCUGAUCCAGCAAUGCCGCGUGAGUGAUGAAGGCCUUCGGGUUGUAAAGCACUUUUGUCCGGAAAGAAAUGGCUCUGGUUAAUACCUGGGGUCGAUGACGGUACCGGAAGAAUAAGGACCGGCUAACUACGUGCCAGCAGCCGCGGUAAUACGUAGGGUCCAAGCGUUAAUCGGAAUUACUGGGCGUAAAGCGUGCGCAGGCGGUUGUGCAAGACCGAUGUGAAAUCCCCGAGCUUAACUUGGGAAUUGCAUUGGUGACUGCACGGCUAGAGUGUGUCAGAGGGGGGUAGAAUUCCACGUGUAGCAGUGAAAUGCGUAGAGAUGUGGAGGAAUACCGAUGGCGAAGGCAGCCCCCGUGGGAUAACACUGACGCUCAUGCACGAAAGCGUGGGGAGCAAACAGGAUUAGAUACCCUGGUAGUCCACGCCCUAAACGAUGUCAACUAGUUGUUGGGGAUU